GGGAGUGGAGGGUGGGCCCGGGACGGGCGCGGACCCGGUAAUCUAACCCUGACUCACAAGAGGCGUAGGCGCCGUGCUUUUGCUCCCCGCGCGCUGUUUUUCUCGCUGACUUUCAGCGUUCGGAAAAGCCCUGUGGCCUAUCGCCAUCCACCAUCCUUUCUGGAACAAACAGACAAAAAAAAAAAUGUCAGCUGCUGGUCCGUUCGCUCCUCCCGGGCCCUGCGGUGGCCGCCAGCCCGCCCUCUCAUCCCCCGCGUCCCGCCUAGAGGCCGCGGUCGGCCCGGGGCUUCUCCGGAGGUGCCCAUUGCCGCCGCGAAGAGUUAGGCUCUGUCAGCCGCGGGCUCUCGGGGGGCCCAGGGCGAGGUUUAGGCCUCGUGGCCGCAGGGACAGCAACGGAGCGGGUCCCCGCGAGCCUGUGCGCGUCCCUGAGCCGUGGGACUUGCACCGGGGACUUUGCUCGGACAAUC
rnacentral:telomerase_RNA from 2 species